UACGUAGGGGGCAAGCGUUAUCCGGAUUUACUGGGUGUAAAGGGAGCGUAGACGGCACUGCAAGUCCGGAGUGAAAGCCCAAGGCUUAACCAUGGGACUGCUCUGGAAACUGUGGAGCUUGAGUGCGGGAGGGGCAGGCGGAAUUCCUAGUGUAGCGGUGAAAUGCGUAGAUAUUAGGAGGAACACCAGUGGCGAAGGCGGCUCUCUGGUCUGCAACUGACGCUGAGGCUCGAAAGCAUGGGUAGCGAACAGG
rnacentral:rRNA from 1 species